GAGGAAUAUUGGACAAUGGAGGCAACUCUGAUCCAGCCAUGCCGCGUGCAGGAAGACUGCCCUAUGGGUUGUAAACUGCUUUUAUACAGGAAGAAACACCUCUACGUGUAGAGAUUUGACGGUACUGUAAGAAUAAGGAUCGGCUAACUCCGUGCCAGCAGCCGCGGUAAUACGGAGGAUCCAAGCGUUAUCCGGAAUCAUUGGGUUUAAAGGGUCCGUAGGUGGAUAAUUAAGUCAGAGGUGAAAUCCUGCAGCUUAACUGUAGAAUUGCCUUUGAUACUGGUUGUCUUGAGUUGUUAUGAAGUGGUUAGAAUAUGUAGUGUAGCGGUGAAAUGCAUAGAUAUUACAUAGAAUACCAAUUGCGAAGGCAGAUCACUAAUAAUAUACUGACACUGAUGGACGAAAGCGUGGGGAGCGAACAGG
rnacentral:rRNA from 1 species